UCCUUGCUAGAGAUACAAUAGUUCUCCCUCAUCCACGGUUUCACUUACCUUCCCACCAGGGCAGAUUCCGAAGCAGAUGACCCUCCUGCCGAUUUGUACGUAACCUGACGCUGGGUACGUGACCUGACGCUAGGUCACGAUGCCACGGUCAUCACCUCACCUUAUCUCAUUGCGUCAUUGCGUAGGCGUUUUAUCGUCUUACAUCAUUACAAGAAGGCAGGAAGACUAAUGAGCCUCGACUGCUGUCUGUUAGAAAAUGUAAAUGAAAGAGUGACAUUAUUUACUGCAACAAUGGGAUUAAUAAGCAUAAAUUCCACAGCUAUUUGUCCAGAAGUCGUCAAUCUGAAUUAUGAAGUCAUCUUUGUUCUGCAAAAAGGACAACUCUGAUCAAGACUUGAUCACUGUUCCAGUAAGCUUCCCAAGAAGACUUUAACAAACAAGAAAUGAUGACCUCAGUUCCUACUCCUCUUCACAAAUAUUUGUAAAAUCAAUCUUCUGUAUGUCAUCCCAUUGGACAAACAAGUAUCACUUGGCUCGUAAUGGGGGGUCCCUUAUACCAUUGCAAGAAAUGACUGACAGAAGGCAUUGUUUCAUACUCUCUUUGAUGCAGUUGGCGUGAGACUUGGAGUUUAAAAGAGCCCUUUGUAAGUAAAAGGUUGAAUAGUAUGAAAGACGGUCUAUACAGCCUCUAAGUAUUCCUAAGGGGAUUUGUUCCUGCUUUUCAAAAUCUGCCCUUUUGACAAACGAAAAUGAUUUCAAAAGAAAAUGAUUACCAACAUGGUACAUUUCACUAUAGAUGAACAGUGAGCUAUACAUUGAGAUAAAGGUCAACUGUGGUUAGUGGUUAACUCUGCAGGAGCCAGCAAAUCAAAAAAAAAAAAAUCACUGUUGAAGAAAGAAAUGUGUUUCUCACCAAAUCCUUUGUCUCCCUCUAAUAAGAAAGAAUUCAAGCCUAUUAGCUUUAAUAGUAAUUACUAGUAACAUUCCAUUAGUUAUCUUUUAAUUGAAAUAGUGAAUAAGUUUGAGUAGCACUAUACUUUGACUCUAGCAAAUUCUUCUGUACUCUAUCCCAAGAGCUCUCUUGCACUAUAGUGGAUUUUAGAAGUAAUUUAGAACUAAAGCUUGGGAAUGUCCUUUCCUUAUAGAGGAAUGUCCUUUGACAUUUUAUUUACAGAGAAUUGUGUCAUCAGAACUGAGUAAAUAUCAUAUCUACAAUGUAUUCCAGAACCUUAAAAUAGGUAGAGUUUCCAGUUUUCUCAAUAUUUCUUUUACAUUUUAGUGACUUCAAGCCUUUAUUGGACCAAUUAUUAUUAUUAUUAUUAUUAUUUGUGUUCCUACAGUGGGGUUUGACUCUUAAUUGUAUAUAUUUAGAUCAGUGAUGAAAAUAUCAUGUCACUUAAAGUUUAGAAAUUUGAAACAUUCUUACAUUAUUGUUGGAAGUUUGAAUUGAUUAAUCACCUUUUAGAAAUGCUUUCAUGAAAUAUAUGUGAAGAUACUUAAAAAAUCGACCCCAGAUAUUUUGUCAGGAAGAAACUGAUGAAACAAACAAAAAUUUGGUCCAUCUACAGCUCAGUUUCUGAGAACACAACCUCGAACCAAUCCAAGAAUGAAAAAAUGGUCAAGCCAAAUUUGGGAAACCAUGAAAGAGUCAACUUGAACUCUUUUGCACCGAGAGGCCUUCCCUUACUACUUUGUCUAAAAUUUGUCUCCACCCUUCCAUAUACUGUGUUUCUUACAUCUCUUCUGGGACUUUGGCUGUGUUCACUCAGUAACAGUUCUAUCCAUCUCCUGCUCUCCAUCUGGUGCUUAGUGAGAGUCCACCUCCUGGUUCAUAGAUGGCUAUGUUCUCAUUGUGUUCUCACAUAAGGCAAAAGUAGUGAGGAAGCUCCCUGAGUUCUCUUUUGUAAAGGCACUAACCCCAUUCAUGAGGGCUCCACUCUCAUGACCUAAUAAUCUCCCAAAUACCCCACUUCCAAAAAGUACUACAUUGGGGAUUAGGCUUCAACAUACAAGUAGAGGUAGGGGCAUAAACAUUCAGUGUGUAGCAUAGUUCCUGACAGACCUGUCAUGACUCCAGCUGCUUCAAGCGACUCUGGUCUCUGCGUUCCUAUAACACUGCAUCUUCCAUUUGUCCCUCCACCCUAUGAGUAAAAUAAGCAUACUACCACUAGGCUCUCGAUUGAUUCAAACACUGAUUCAACAAACCAACCUACCACAUUAAUAACCAAUGCACUACAUUUCCUCUCCUUUAAAUACUCAGAGAGGUUUUUCCCUGACUCAACUGUAACUAAAAAAUUAGUGUUUAUCUAAAAUUGUCUUACAAAUAUCCUUUUAUAAUUUAUUGUUAUGUAAGCAUUAUAAUUAUUUCAUGGGAACACUACCACUAGACCUUAGAGUUUCUGUAAGUAAGUUCCAUUUCCAAUUUUCAAAGAGCUUUUGGGAAGUUUCUACUUCCUAAUUUACGAUCCUUCACCACUGUUGUCUAAAUCAUGUUAAAGCUGUGGUAGUACUUUAAGCGCUUCUGAGAGACUGCAUUAACCACCUUAUGAGAAAAUAUUGUCUCAAUAAGUUGGUUUCUUUUUCUUGUCUCUUAGUUGGUUUCCUUUUCUUAGUCUGUUAGUAUUUCAAUUUAUUUUUCAGUUCUCAUAUUAUAAAGUAUGUGUAUUCAUAUGUGUCCUCUAAUUCAAAUUUAUAUUUAAAGUAAAAUAUCAGUAACCAUAGGGAUGAUGUAGUGGGCAUUUUUACUUUAAUUUGAUUUAAAUUAGGAGACUGACCUGAUAUCUGUCUAAAAUAUUUUCUCUCAAGGAUUUUUAUAAUCAUGGAGUUAUAAGAAAAAAAAGUGAAUUGAGGACUACUUGAAAUCAUUACCCAAAUAAUACUUGACAUUAUUCAAAAACUCAUUUUGUCCAUUACCUAUCUUUAAUAAACUAAAUUAGUACAAAUUAAGUUGAGGUAUUUUUAUGUUAUAGAGAAGAACCAUCUAAAAUUGGUUUUUAUUAUCUAUGUGUUUAUUUAUGUUUAUAAUAAUAUUAUUUAUGUAUUUAUUUAUUUUGAGCCAUAGAACACAUGAAGGCAAUUUCCUGAUGACAUAUAAAUUUCCUUCAAAUGGCGUGAUAAAUAACAAUGAUAAUGGAGUUAAUAGUGCUAUUUAUAUAUUCACUAGAGUCAGUGGACACCUGAAAUGUUUAGAAACAUAUACCAUGGAGUAACUAAUUAAUGCAAUUUACUAAUAAUUAUUUAAAUUUAAUGCAAAAAAUAAACCAAAGCGACUUGUAAUAUUCACUGCUAAAUUUAAUUUAACAUAGUUUAUAUAUACUCAGAAAUCUGCCUUAAAAAGGGUUUUCCUCCACACCAGGAAAGUGUGAUUUCACUGUCACACAUUAACAACAUGAUGCUACAUUUGUACUUUGUUUGAUAUACACACCAUUUUGUUUUGCUUGAAAAAAAUGGUAGGUCAUUGUUGUAAGUAGCCAAUUUAUGUUUGAAGCAUCCAGAAACAAUGGUUCCACAAAUCAAGCUUAAGGAGUCUUGGCUCAGACUGCUACUCUCCUCCAACCCAUUCCAAUUGAUGAACACCACCUGUGGCACUCCUAAUUCACAGCAGCAGGCAAUAAUUUCCCUUGGAUACCCAUUACCAGUAAUUAUUCCCAAGAUAGGCUAUUAGAUAUGGCUUGUGAAUAUCUCAGCUGUAAACUUGAAAAAAUUAAUUCUAAUAUUUCCUUUGAGAUUCAUUUGUAGCUUAGUGACAACAUAAAUUAGUGAAAUUCUCUUUUAAAAAAGUAACAAAUUAUAGGCUUAUUUUUAGAAAAAGUGAUAAAAUUAUAAUAAUAUAUUUGCAUAUUUUGCAGGGUUCUUAUGUGAUUAUCUUAAAAUACAGAAACAGUUGGAAAUCUUGUAGAUAAGGUAACAUGAAGCAGUUGAUAGUUAAUUGUUUUGGUUUUUUCCUUCCAUAUUAGAGAUUUCCAAAAAUUUGGCUUAGUGUGUGACAAUUAUAUGUGGUUUUGCAAAAACAUCAUUGCAAAAAGGGAAAGAAAAAAAACAUAUAACAAAGCAUUAAACACAGUUUACACCCUAAUUGCCUUUGGAAACUUACAUUAACUGAAUUUAAAGACAUGAUGCUAAAUUUGCAAAAAUUUUAAGUGGUUGCUUUGAAUAUUCCUUUAUUAAAUAAUAAAUUGUAGAACAAUGCAAUAUAUAAUUGUAUGUAAGCACCAUCUGUUUGCAAACUUUUUAAAUAUUUUUUUAAAUGAUACACUUCUGGUCUCUUAUUUUUACAGAGUACAUAUAUUUGGGUCUUUUUAUGUCCUUGCUCUACUUUGGCAGUUAGAGCAGUUGUAGUAAAUGGUACACAUAUUUCACACAAAAACUUGUGAAAUGUGUAUUCAUAAGUUCUUCUAGUCUGCCACAAAAUGCUGACAAAAUGUAUGACAGUUCACAAGUAUCCAUUCCUUAGUGUUCUCCACGAAAGAGAAGUUACUGUGGUUAAGUUAUAACCAAUAUGUAUGAACUGGCUAGUGGUUUAUCAAUUUUGUUAAUUCUUUCAAAGAACCAGCUUCUGGUUUCAUUGAUCUGUUCUACUGUUUUUU